CGGCGGAUGGUCGGCCGGACCGGCGCUGACACUGCCGAUCUUCGAGGGCGGCCGCCUGCGUGCGCGGCUCGCUGCCGCGACUGCGGA
rnacentral:tRNA from 3 species